UACGUAGGGGGCAAGCGUUGUCCGGAUUUACUGGGCGUAAAGAGCGUGUAGGCGGCCACGCAGGUCCGUUGUGAAAACUGGAGGCUCAACCUCGAGACGUCGGCGGAAACCAUCUGGCUAGAGUCCGGAAGAGGAGAGUGGAAUUCCUGGUGUAGCGGUGAAAUGCGCAGAUAUCAGGAAGAACACCCGUGGCGAAGGCGGCUCUCUGGGACGGUACUGACGCUGAGACGCGAAAGCGUGGGGAGCGAACAGG
rnacentral:rRNA from 1 species